rnacentral:rRNA from 1 species
GUCGAACGAUAGAUAGAGGCUUGCUUCUAUCGAAAGUGGCGCACGGGUGCGUAACGCGUAUGCAACCUACCUUAAUCAGGGGGAUAGCCCGGAGAAAUCCGGAUUAACACCGCAUAAAAACACAGGAUAGCAUUAUCCAAUGUUCAAAUAUUUAUAGGAUUAAGAUGGGCAUGCGUGUCAUUAGCUAGUUGGCGGGGUAACGGCCCACCAAGGCGACGAUGACUAGGGGAUCUGAGAGGAUGGCCCCCCACACUGGUACUGAGACACGGACCAGACUCCUACGGGAGGCAGCAGUAAGGAAUAUUGGUCAAUGGGCGCAAGCCUGAACCAGCCAUGCCGCGUGCAGGAAGACUGCCCUAUGGGUUGUAAACUGCUUUUAUCCGGGAAUAAACCUUUCUACGUGUAGAAAGCUGAAUGUACCGGAAGAAUAAGGAUCGGCUAACUCCGUGCCAGCAGCCGCGGUAAUACGGAGGAUCCAAGCGUUAUCCGGAUUUAUUGGGUUUAAAGGGUGCGUAGGCGGCCUGUUAAGUCAGGGGUGAAAGACGGUAGCUCAACUAUCGCAGUGCCCUUGAUACUGAUGGGCUUGAAUAAACUAGAGGUAGGCGGAAUGAGACAAGUAGCGGUGAAAUGCAUAGAUAUGUCUCAGAACACCGAUUGCGAAGGCAGCUUACUAUGGUUUAAUUGACGCUGAGGCACGAAAGCGUGGGGAUCAAACAGGAUUAGAUACCCUGGUAGUCCACGCCCUAAACGAUGAACACUCGCUGUUGGCGAUACACAGUCAGCGGCUAAGCGAAAGCGUUAAGUGUUCCACCUGGGGAGUACGCCCGCAAGGGUGAAACUCAAAGGAAUUGACGGGGGCCCGCACAAGCGGAGGAGCAUGUGGUUUAAUUCGAUGAUACGCGAGGAACCUUACCCGGGCUUGAAAGUUAGUGAAUGAUUUAGAGAUAGAUCAGUGAGCAAUCACACGAAACUAGGUGCUGCAUGGCUGUCGUCAGCUCGUGC